rnacentral:pre_miRNA from 1 species
AAACUAUAUGAAAUCUGUCAAUUUAGUCGUUAAAAUAUAUGAAAAUAUUUCAAUUUAGUCCGUAACAUCUUAAUAUGAUGGACUAAAUUGACGAAUUUCAUAUAAAUCAGUGAUUACUUAUUACAUUUACACGGUUUAGGGACUAAAUUGAUGGUUUCUUCUAGGUU